UACAGAGGUCCCGAGCGUUUGUUCGGAUUCAUUGGGCGUAAAGGGUGCGUAGGCGGCGGGGCGAGUCUGAUGUGAAAUCCCGGGGCUCAACCCCGGAACUGCAUUGGAUACUGCCUUGCUAGAGUACUGGAGAGGGAACUGGAAUUUACGGUGUAGCAGUGAAAUGCGUAGAGAUCGUAAGAAAGGCCAGUGGCGAAGGCGAGUUCCUGGACCGGAACUGACGCUGAGGCGCGAAAGCGUGGGGAGCAAACGGG
rnacentral:rRNA from 1 species